AAUAACAAAACAUUGUUUAGUAACGUGGAAAAGGAAAGAGAUAGGCCGACCAAAUACGGGCCGGUGGAUGGGCGGGCCUUAUCUGUUUCGUAUAAAACAAGCCUAGGCGAGUCUUUGUUUCUAGCUUAGGGUUUGGUUUCAGAGGAAGGAAAGAACGAAGGAACGAAGAACAAAUCGAAGAGGUUAGAUGGAUCGUGACAGUAAUGAUGAUGGACGUAUUCCUUUUAGGAGCCUUUCUUGCUACCAAGAGAUUUGUAGGCUUGCUGAUAAGGAUUGUCACUUCUCAUCAAUUCCAAGAUAUCCGCUUUUCGUGAGAGACGUGUAUGAUAUGGUGGAUGAUCCUUCAACUGAUUCAGUUGUCUCGUGGAGUGAUAGUGGCAAGAGCUUCAUCAUUUGGAAGGAAUCUGAGUUCCUAGGAGAUGUUUUUCCUAGGUGCUUUUCCUGCGAUUACAAAGAUAUGACAUCCCUCACCGCCUGGUUUAAUGCCAUGGGAUAUAGUAAAGUUGAAGAAUCUGUGCAUUGGGAAUACACAGGCAAUUAUUUGGUGAGAGGCCAGCCUCCCCACCCUACAGAUACAUUCUCACGUACUCCUGGGGGUAUUAUGAUUUCUCCAGAAGAGGCCAAAAUCAUGGAGAGGUUCUUUGCUUCUACGAAGGCUCGCAAACAAUAAGCUCUGUCUGUUUCGGUGGAGUUGCUUUGCUCUCGUGGUUGUUGUUGUUUUCUUAAUCUUAUUUUAUCGUCCUGUUUGAAAACAUUAUGUUCGGUCUCUCUCUCUUUUCUUUUCUUAAAUUAUGGUUUGUAAGAUAAGAUGGUUGAUGUUUUUUUUUUUUUUUUUUGCAUUUUAAUAAGAUAGAUCAUUAUGAUCUUUUGGUUCU